GUCUGACUCUGAAUCUUGGGGUAUUAUACUUCCUUCCCAGUUGAAUCCAGGAGUAUGAAGGGUAAGUACAGUAGAGUCACAUCUUACAAAGGAGUCAGGUUCUGAGGUAAAGAGAUUAAAGUCUACAGAGAUCAUGUGAGGUGAUUCUGCGACUGUGGGAAAACAGCCUGUGGGCAGGAGCAGAAGCCGGCGUUCAGCUCGGAGGCGGUGCAGUGGUCUAAGGAAGAUGCCUCACUUAGACGUGAGCCAGGGACAUGGUGAGGGGUGGGUAAUGAGAGGCAGUCAAG